GAAAGCAUGACGGAUGGACUCUUCUCUGAAAAAACUGACACGAGUUGAUUGAUGCCAGAAAAGAUGAAGACAUCACUGAGGAGUCCAGGGUCUUCUUUUUAGAUAAGUCUCAUCGUCUUCAAGAAGCGGUUGUUGAUAGUGACGUACCAUCAGUUAACAUUAGGGGAACCAUUGACCCUGCUCCUAUACAAGUAUCAGAUCAGACUCCAAUGAAAACUGUAGUUGAGUUAUUUGGGAAGAUGGGACUCAGGCAAGCUUUUGUAUCACGCAAUGGUCGUCUGUUGGGUAUAGUUACAAAGAAGGAUAUGUUGCGUCAUGUUUCAUCAAUGGAGAAGAACCCUUACUCCAUACAGUAUCAUUAACAUUGCUAUACAUAUACUGUACAUGUAUAUAUAUAUUUAUUAUAAAUAA